UACGUAGGGUGCGAGCGUUGUCCGGAAUUAUUGGGCGUAAAGAGCUCGUAGGCGGUGUGUCACGUCGGCCGUGAAAACCUGGGGCUCAACUCUGGGCGUGCGGUCGAUACGGGCAUCACUUGAGUUCGGCAGGGGAGACUGGAAUUCCUGGUGUAGCGGUGAAAUGCGCAGAUAUCGGGAGGAACACCGGUGGCGAAGGCGGUUCUCUGGGCCUUACCUGACGCUGAGGAGCGAAAGCGUGGGGAGCGAACAGG
rnacentral:rRNA from 1 species